rnacentral:misc_RNA from 1 species
AAGUCGUAACAAGGUAACCGUAGGUGAACCUGCGGUUGGAUCAUUAAAAAGAUCUAGCCCGAUUUUGCACCUGGCCUUGAGCUGGUGGAAUGACAGGCUUUUCUCACGUACGUGAGUCAACAUCAUGUGAACUGUUUUGUCUCUGGCGGUGGGAUGGCUCAAAACCGUCUGUCAGCAUCCGAGGUAAUCUCGGUGUGCCGUGGACAAGCCGCCAACGGUGUAUGUUUCAUACAAACUUUUUGUUUCAUUAAAACUGUCUGACCUACUUUUGUAUCUAAAUAAUACAAAAACAACUUUUGGCAACGGAUCUCUUGGCUCCC